CACGUAGGGUGCAAGCGUUGUCCGGAUUCAUUGGGCGUAAAGGGCUAGUAGGCGGCUUAGCAAGUCGGGUGUGAAAGCCCGGGGCUUAACCCCGGGUCUGCAUUCGAUACGGGCAGGCUAGAGUGUGGUAGGGGAGAUCGGAAUUCCUGGUGUAGCGGUGAAAUGCGCAGAUAUCAGGAGGAACACCGGUGGCGAAGGCGGAUCUCUGGGCCAUUACUGACGCUGAGGAGCGAAAGCGUGGGGAGCGAACAGG
rnacentral:rRNA from 1 species